rnacentral:rRNA from 1 species
GUACACGCUGUGACUAGCAUAUCAAUAAGCGGAGGAAAAGAAACUAACAAGGAUUCCCUCAGUAACGGCGAGUGAAGCGGGAAGAGCUCAAAUUUGAAAUCUUGAAAGGUCACCUUUCACGAAUUGUAGUUUAAAGAAGUGUUUUCUGUUACGAUCGUAAUAUAAGUUCUUUGGAAUAGGACAUCACAGAGGGUGAGAAUCCCGUCUAUGAUUGCGAUUUGUAGCUUUGUGAUACACUUUCAAAGAGUCGGGUUGUUUGGGAAUGCAGCCCAAAACGGGAGGUAAAUUUCUUCUAAGGCUAAAUAUUGGCGAGAGACCGAUAGCGAACAAGUACCGUGAGGGAAAGAUGAAAAGAACUUUGAAAAGAGAGUUAAAUAGUACGUGAAAUUGUCAAAAGGGAAGCGUUUAACACCAGUGUUGUUUUCUGAAAAUCAACCUCUGUUAGCUUUAUGCAUGUUUGUUUAGACCUAAUCAGCUAUCUUGCAUGUUCUAUUGUUUGCAGUGGUGCACUUUUCAGUUUACAGGUCAACAUCAGUUUUUUUUACCGUAAAAAAGUUAAAGAAAGGUAGCUCAUGGCUCCGGUCGUGAGUGUUAUAGUCUUUUUCCUAUGCGGUAGGAGAGACUGAGGUCUGCAGUGUAGGCUAUUUGGCUAGAUACUCAGGUGCUAUGUGAUACCAUUUCAUAAACAACUUGUUGAUUAUGUUUUGUCUAUUGCAUACUCGCUUGUACUAUCAUACCUACGCUUAGGAUGUUGAACUACUGAGACAUAGA